CGAAAGCUUGUCCAAAUCCUUCUACAUCACCUUCUCUCUGCCAUAGCUUUUUCUUCUCUUCAAUCGGAAGUUCGAACAAUUUCUGAGUUUCCAUCUUCAUUCUCUCCAUCAACGAAUCGCUCACUCCGUGCUUCACCAACUGCGGAGUGAAGGCGAGACAACUCGGAAUCCAUUGUAUCAUGGGAGCACAAGUUGUACAUGUCGAUGACGGGGAUUUGGGAAGCGUCGGAGGAGAUGGGGGAGUGGUGGGGGAGAUCGGGGCGGAUGUAUCGAUGUGGAUUUCGGUGAUGGGGUGUUUGGCUAACUCUUGAACGGAAGGUACUAGAAUGGAACUUCCGAACCUUAAUGUGUCGUUGUUCUUCUCCUCCGCCAUGAGUUUCUUAUUUUUGUGAUUGAUUGGUUUCUGAAAUUCUGUAUGAAAAUGGCAAUGAGAUUUGGUUUUGAUUUUUAUGUUUUCAGCA